rnacentral:tRNA from 1 species
UCCCUGAUAGCUCAGCAGGUAAAGAAUCCGCCUGCAAUGCAGAAGACCCCAGUUCAAUUUCUGGGUUGGGAAG